rnacentral:rRNA from 1 species
CUUGGUCAUUUAGAGGAAGUAAAAGUCGUAACAAGGUUUCCGUAGGUGAACCUGCGGAAGGAUCAUUAAAGAGUUAGGGUCUUCUAGGCCCGACCUCCCCAACCCCAUGUUUAUUAAACCUCUGUUGCUUCGGCGGGCCCGUCUCACGGCCGCCGGAGGAUCGCUGUGAGGCGUCCUCUGGCCAGCGUCCGCCGAUAGCCAACCCCAAAACUCUGAAUAAAUCGUGUCAUAUGUCUAAGUAUAUUAUUAAAUAAAGCAAAACUUUCAACAACGGAUCUCUUGGUUCUGGCAUCGAUGAAGAACGCAGCGAAAUGCGAUAAGUAAUGCGAAUUGCAGAAUUCCAGUGAGUCAUCGAAUCUUUGAACGCACAUUGCGCCCUUUGGUAUUCCGAAGGGCAUGCCUGUUCGAGCGUCAUUAUCACCCCUCAAGCCCUGUGCUUGGUGUUGGACGGCUGGUCGAGCGAUCGACCCCUCCUAAAGACAAUGACGGCGGCCUGUGGUUCCCCCGGUACACUGAGCUUUUAACUGAGCACGUAUCGGACAAGGGCACCCGGGACCCGGUCCUCUCCUUUAACUAGGAAACUUUCUAAGGUUGACCUCGGAUCAGGUAGGAAUACGCGCUGAACUUAAGCAUAUCAAUAAGCGGAGGA